rnacentral:rRNA from 1 species
UACGAGGGGGGCGAGCGUUGUUCGGAAUUAUUGGGCGUAAAGGGCGCGUAGGCGGUUGGCUCAGUCUUGUGUGAAAUCUUCGGGCUCAACUCGAAGUCUGCACGAGAAACUAUCUGGCUUGAGUGUGGGAGAGGUGAGUGGAAUUCCUGGUGUAGCGGUGAAAUGCGUAGAUAUCAGGAGGAACACCUGUGGCGAAAGCGGCUCACUGGACCACAACUGACGCUGAGGCGCGAAGGCUAGGGGAGCAAACAGG